rnacentral:rRNA from 1 species
GACGAACGCUGGCGGCGUGCUUAACACAUGCAAGUCGAGCGGUAAGGCCCUUUCGGGGGUACACGAGCGGCGAACGGGUGAGUAACACGUGGGUGACCUGCCCUCAGCUCUGGGAUAAGCCUGGGAAACCGGGUCUAAUACUGGAUAUGACUCCAUGACGCAUGUUGUGGGGUGGAAAGCCUUGUGCGGCUGAGGAUGGGCCCGCGGCCUAUCAGCUUGUUGGUGGGGUGANGGGCCUACCAAGGCGACGACGGGUAGCCGGCCUGAGAGGGCGACCGGCCACACUGGGACUGAGACACGGCCCAGACUCCUACGGGAGGCAGCAGUGGGGAAUCUUGCGCAAUGGGCGAAAGCCUGACGCAGCGACGCCGCGUGA